rnacentral:rRNA from 1 species
AUGAACGCUGGCGGCGUGCUUAACACAUGCAAGUCGAACGAACCUUCGGGGUUUAGUGGCGGACGGGUGAGUAACGCGUGAGAAUCUGCCCUCAGGAGGGGGAUAACGGCUGGAAACGGCCGCUAAUACCCCAUAUGCCGCGAGGUGAAAUGAAUUUCGCCUGAGGAUGAGCUCGCGUCUGAUUAGCUAGUUGGUGGGGUAAAGGCCUACCAAGGCAUCGAUCAGUAGCUGGUCUGAGAGGAUGAUCAGCCACACUGGGACUGAGACACGGCCCAGACUCCUACGGGAGGCAGCAGUGGGGAAUUUUCCGCAAUGGGCGAAAGCCUGACGGAGCAACGCCGCGUGAGGGAUGAAGGCCUCUGGGCUGUAAACCUCUUUUAUCAAGGAAGAAGAUCUGACGGUACUUGAUGAAUAAGCCACGGCUAAUUCCGUG